rnacentral:rRNA from 1 species
UACAUGCAAGUAGAACGCUGAAGAGAGGAGCUUGCUCUUCUUGGAUGAGUUGCGAACGGGUGAGUAACGCGUAGGUAACCGGCCUUGUAGCGGGGGAUAACUAUUGGAAACGAUAGCUAAUACCGCAUAACAAUGGAUGACACAUGUCAUUUAUUUGAAAGGGGCAAUUGCUCCACUACAAGAUGGACCUGCGUUGUAUUAGCUAGUAGGUGAGGUAACGGCUCACCUAGGCGACGAUACAUAGCCGACCUGAGAGGGUGAUCGGCCACACUGGGACUGAGACACGGCCCAGACUCCUACGGGAGGCAGCAGUAGGGAAUCUUCGGCAAUGGGGGCAACCCUGACCGAGCAACGCCGCGUGAGUGAAGAAGGUUUUCGGAUCGUAAAGCUCUGUUGUAAGUCAAGAACGAGUGUGAGAGUGGAAAGUUCACACUGUGACGGUAGCUUACCAGAAAGGGACGGCUAACUACGUGCCAGCAGCCGCGGUAAUACGUAGGUCCCGAGCGUUGUCCGGAUUUAUUGGGCGUAAAGCGAGCGCAGGCGGUUUGAUAAGUCUGAAGUUAAAGGCUGUGGCUCAACCAUAGUUCGCUUUGGAAACUGUCAAACUUGAGUGCAGAAGGGGAGAGUGGAAUUCCAUGUGUAGCGGUGAAAUGCGUAGAUAUAUGGAGGAACACCGGUGGCGAAAGCGGCUCUCUGGUCUGUAACUGACGCUGAGGCUCGAAAGCGUGGGGAGCGAACAGGAUUAGAUACCCUGGUAGUCCACGCCGUAAACGAUGAGUGCUAGGUGUUGGAUCCUUUCCGGGAUUCAGUGCCGCAGCUAACGCAUUAAGCACU